rnacentral:snoRNA from 1 species
GCCCUGCAUGGUCAUUGUCCAACAGACCUAGACGCUGGUGUAAGUGGUUGUCCGAGGAGGAAGAGUAAAACUGAAACGGGCCUGAGUGCUUGUGUGACACACCAGCUCGUCUCAAACGCAC